CGACGCGUGGCUAAACGCCCCGGGAGGCUUGGCCUCACCCCUGGCCAGCUCAGAGGAGAGGCUCUGAGCCACGUAUCCCAGGCUGCCACACGCCAUUGGCACAGGCAGGGAUGAAGCUAAAGUGCCAGCUCUGCAAAGCCAAACCAGGCUCCGGCAAAACACGUUCACUCCCGAGUUCCUGCUAACAGCAUGUUCUCUUCACCUAUUUUUUCAGCUAAGCCUUUUAUAGAGGAGAAAGGUUAUCUAAGUAGAGCACAGGGAUCUGAUGCCCUGUUUGUGUAGACAAAGCCAGGCCUGUGCAGCACUGGGAGUCUGUGAGCUGAGCUGAGCUCUCAUUGUCCCAGGUUUCAGCUGGAGCAGAGCUGAGCUGGUCAUGUCGACCCCAGAAACUAAUCAUCUUCCUCCGAGCCCUCGCAGGAGCUAACGAAGUCCUGCUGCAUGGAAUAAUAGGCCUGGCAAGACCUCAAGCUAAGAAUUAACUAGUCGGUUGUGCAGAAUCUCCGGGGGGUGAAGAACAAGCCUCUUGUGCCACCCUGAGCUCAUUUAGAAAAGCAGGAAACCUCUUUGCCUUUGCAACCCUCUCCUGUCUUCAUCUGAAAUCAGCCCUUCGGCCUGGUGCCUCGCCGGUGUCUCACGGGGCGGGUGCUGGGGCUGAGCGGUGGCGCUGAGCGCAGGGAGGGACAGGUGGCAGCCGUGGCCCGGCGGGGUUUGGUGGCAGUGCAGGGCAGCUCUGCUCUGCGCUGGGUUUCCUGGUCUGCGUUGCUAAUUGUCAUGAUUAAAUGAGGAGUGAGAAAGAAAAGGCAGUGCUUGAAUUGGUGUUAAAUUUAUUGAUGAGUGGAAAAACCCGUUGGCUUUGAAGCUGCCCGGAGAGGGGUCCCCUGGCUGAGGGGAGCUCCUGGGAGCGAGGAGGCAGCAGCUUGGGGUGGGGGUGUCACCUCCAGAAGUGCUGUUUGAACGGUGGCUGUGGGCGUUGGUAGGUCUGGUUUUUGCUUCCCAGUGUCAGAGCCCCAGUACGGUGGGUGACCAGCGCAGGGAAGGGGCAGUUAACCCACAGCAACCUGCUCCGAAGUCUGAAAGGUCGACGGCUCCUCCGCGCCGGCCGGGGCCGGGACUGGAUCCCGCCCUGGACUCUGCUGUGUGCGGCCGGAUCCCACGCUGCGCCCAGUGCUCGAGUUCCUCGGCACAGAGGAGCUGCCCGGGGCCCCCGUGCUCUCCCGCUUGCCCCAGCCCCGUCCUGGGCAUGGCUGCAGCCCCUCCUGGGUGCCAGCUCCCCCCGGCACAAGAGCCCGGCCGGGGGCUGGCCGAGGAGCAGAGCAGACGGGAACGCUGCCGGGGCCUGCGCUCGGUCCCAGGGUCGGGGAUCCCUUCCCCAGCCGUGCCGCUGCCCUGGGGUUCGCUCUCUGAGGCCUUUCCUCUUGGGUAGUUGAGCUGCAAUUUAACAUUUCUACUUCUGCAGUAUCAGCAACAGUUUCCUCUUGCCCCUGUUCUGGAACUGAACCCGUCCAGGCGUGGCCAGGCUCCCCUACACCGGGACGGAAGGGAGCUGCGGCCCCGGAGGGAGCAAACCCGCCGUGGUGCAGCGAGAUGAGUCCUGGCGUCAGCUGCUCUCCGCAGCCCGCUCAGAUCUUCCGGCCGCUCCUUGCUGUCGCUUUUCUUAUUUAAAAAAAAAACCUGGCGUGCCAUCAGAUUUCCUGCUGGUGAUGAAAGGACCCAGAGCUGGGUCCUGCUGUGGGCGAUGCUGUUUCUGAUUUGUAGGGAGAUCAUUUAUAGCGGCACUUCAGGGGUUUUCCCCGCUGUACUCAGGAGUUCAGGUGUUGGUACCGCAGGGCUCAGCGCGGGGACGAUAAACCCGGGCGAGCGCAGGGCACGCUGCCGCCGUACGGCCACGGCCACCGGUGCCUCGGAGCCAGAGGCCACCGUGGCGGAGCCUCAGCGCUGGGGACGAGGGUCAGACAGACCCAGGUGGCGACUGGAUUUUUCUCCAUUAGAGAAGCAAAGCGGUGUGAGCUGCUGUUAGCCUGUGGCAUCCUUCACCGCCGCGCCAGAGAGCUGUCUGCGGGAACAGGGAGACAGACGGACGUCCCCGCGCCCGCAGCCUCUCUCUGUGAUGGUUUUUUUUUUUAAAGCCAGACUUGCCCAGCUGAUGUUGCUUUGAAAUCAAAAUUGUAAAUACAUUUAAUUUGGAACUUCAUCUCCUUCAAACUCUGAUUUAUUCACAGACUGAUCAGAUUAAGUCUGUAGGUUGCAGUGGCUAUAAAAUAUUUACAUUGACACUGCACAUUGAUUUCUGGGGAGCAGCAGUGCCAUGCAAGGCUCUAAAUCUUCCGGGCUCUGUGGUGCUGGUGAUGGAUCGGUCUCCAGUGAUCCUGCUUGCUUAUUGCAUGCAUUAA